rnacentral:rRNA from 1 species
AUUGAACUCUGGCGGAAGGCCUAACACAUGCAAGUCGAGCGGAUCGGCGGACGGGUGAGUAAUGCCUAGGAAUCUGCCUGGUAGUGGGGGAUAACGUUAGGAAACGGGCGCUUAUGCCGAAUACUAUCAGAUGAGCCUAGGUCGGAUUCGCUAGUUGGUGGGGUAAAGGCCUACCAAGGCGACGAUCCGUAACUGGUCUGAGAGGAUGAUAAGUCCCACUGGAACGUAGACACGGUCCAGACUCCUACGGGAGGCAGCAGUGGGGAAUAUUGGAUAAUGGGCGAAAGCCUGAUCCAGCCAUGCCGCGUGUGUGAAGAAGGUCGUCGGAUUGUAAAGCACUUUAAGUUGGGAGGCGUUACCAACAGAAUAAGCACCGGCUAACUUCGUGCCAGCAGCCGCGGUAAUUC